rnacentral:rRNA from 13 species
CUUAGAUGUUCUGGGCCGCACGCGCGCUACACUGACGAACUCAGCGAGUUUAUAACCUUGGCCGGAAGGUCCGGGUAAUCUUGUGAAAGUUCGUCGUGAUGGGGAUAGUCCCUUGCAAUUAUUGGACUUCAACGAGGAAUUCCUAGUAAGUGCGAGUCAUCAGCUCGCGUUGAUUACGUCCCUGCCCUUUGUACACACCGCCCGUCGCACCUACCGAUUGAGUGACUCGAUGAAGGCUCGGGAUUGUGGUUAUUGCUUUCAUUAGGAAUUACUGCGAGAACUUGUCUGAAUCUCGCCACUUAGAGGAAGGUGAAGUCGUAACAAGGUUUCCGUAGGUGAACCUGCUGAA